UAUGCUUCUCCUAAAGACUAAGCCAUGCAUGCCUAAGAAUAAGAGGAAGCAAUUCUCUCUGAAUCUGCGAACGGCUCCGCAAACCAGUUGUAAACUAUAGCAAGCAAGCCCGGGAUCGGCCUUCACGGGCUGGUUCCGGGUGAUAUGGAUAACCCUGGUAAUUCUGAGGCUAAUACAUGACCGUAAAACCUAGCUGACCGGCUUCGGCUGGGAUGCUGGGGGACGUGUGAUUUGGGCUUGGUAACACCGGGAAGGGGCGCACGUCUAGACCACGCUAUAAAGGUCGGUUUCCCCUUCGGGGGGGGCUGUCCCAGUGGCUCUUGCUGUGUGCUUCUGACCUAUCAACUAGACGGCAGCGUAAGGGACAUGCUAUGGUGACAACGGGUACAGAGGAUUAGGGUUCGAUCCUGGAGAGUGGGCCUGAGAGAUUGCUCAUACUUCUAAGGAAGGCAGCAGGCGCGCAACGUUCCCCUUGGGCAAUGCCCGAGGGCGUUAGGGGACAUAUGAAUGCCUGCCCAUUGGGUGGGCAAUUCAAAUGGGUCUGUUGUAAACAGGCUCUCGAGUAACAAUUAGAGGA
rnacentral:rRNA from 1 species